GCCGACGUAGCUCAGUUGGUAGAGCAAGUGUUUCGUAAACACUAGGUCGGAGGUUCAAAUCCUCUCGUCGGCU
rnacentral:tRNA from 1 species